AGCCGCGGUUAAACCAAGAUGAUCGAAUUAUAUCUUUAUGGUGAAAAAAUAGUUAAAUUUAAUAAAGUUUACUAAAUGUUUAUAAAAGAGUAAAAUCUGAAUAUGAACAAAAGAUUCUACUUAAGCUUAGAUAUUGAAGCUAUGAAAGCCUUGAGGGAAACUGGGAUUAGAUACCCCAUUAUUCUUGGAUUUAAAGCAAUAACAAUUUACCAGAGUACUAUGAAUCAACGAUUUAAAACUUAAAGGGCUUGGCGGUGUUUUAGACCUCUUAGGGGAACCUGUCUCAUAAUCGACAGUCCACGUUAGACCUAACCCUUCUUUGCAGUCAAUUUGUAUACCGUCGUCGUCAGGUAACUUUUUAGAAAAAAGAAGUUAGCAACUAAAUAAUAAUAAAUUUAUACGUCAGAUCAAGGUGCAGUUAAUAGAAGGGAGAGGAUGGGUUACAAUUAUAUAAUCAUAAUUACGGAAAAAUUUUUUUGAAAUAGAAUUAUGAAGGAGGACUUGAAAGUAAGAUAUAGUACAUAAAUAUUCUGAAUUAGGCUCUGAAACGUGCACACAUCGCCCG
rnacentral:rRNA from 1 species